rnacentral:rRNA from 1 species
UUGACGGGGCCCGCACAAGCGGUGGAGUAUGUGGUUUAAUUCGAUGCAACGCGAAGAACCUUACCUGGUCUUGACAUCCCGGAGACCCUUAGGAAACUAGGGGGUGCUUCCAUCUGGAAGAAUCUGGAGACAGGUGCUGCAUGGGCUGUCGUCAGCUCGUGUCGUGAGAUGUUGGGUUAAGUCCCGCAACGAGCGCAACCCUUGCCUUUAGUUGCCAGCAGUUCGGCUGGGCACUCUAAAGGGACUGCCGGUGUUAAACCGGAGGAAGGUGGGGAUGACGUCAAGUCCUCAUGGCCUUUAUGACCAGGGCUACACACGUACUACAAUGGCCGAUACAAAGGGCAGCGACACUGCGAGGUGAAGCCAAUCCCGUAAAAUCGGUCUCAGUCCGGAUUGGAGUCUGCAACUCGACUCCAUGAAGUUGGAAUCGCUAGUAAUCGUGGAUCAGCAUGCCACGGUGAAUACGUUCCCGGGCCUU